ensembl:lncRNA
GUAGUAGUAUUUUUACCAUUUAAAAAACGAUUUAAAACAUGUAAUAAUUAAAAACACCCAAUAAAAUGAACGGGGAACUCGCAGCUGCUUUGUAAAACUGCCUUUAGAAGUAUUGAAAUUGAGUAAUAUAAUAACUAUUUUGCAUUUAUUUCAUGUUAACCCCCCUCUCUCUUUUAUGUGUUCUUCCAUUAGUGUGUUUGAGUGCGGCCCGGCGCAGGAUAGAGGUGGGCCCGCGGAACUGACUGAGCAUAAAAUAAGGCAGUUGCUGCUGGAGCUGUGCCAUAGAGCAGGUGGCAGCCAGUACCUCCGGCAAAUCCAUCACAGCAUCCAGCUCAAUGAGUUUACUGAGGUCCGUCCUAACGCCGCAUGCAGAGACACAUUCACAUCCGGACUCCCCUUUGGGACCUGUUGUGUUCUCUUCUGAAGCAAGCAGCCAAAACCAACUUAUAACUCAAUUCAACCCCCUCACAGAGUGCAAUUCUAUCGGCCAUAACAAGUUCGAUCAGGCUGCUAUGGCUGAGAGGGAGUGGAAUUGGGCCCAACUGCUGCCAGCCUUUCAGAGCAUGAGUCAGGUGACCUUCACGACGCUGCUCUCUAACAGGUGGGAGAUGCAGGAUGAUGCAGCACUAGAGGAUGAAGAGAAGAUUUUAGUGGAUCAGUUAAAGAAAACAUACUUCGACAAAAGCCAAGAAACUUAGCAAAGUCCCAGUGACUAUUUAACAGGAAAACCAAAUGUAAAAAGUGUGUGUGGCUGAUAAGAAGAUUGAUAACACUGAUGUGCUGUGGAUGUGAAAUUACAGUUACAGAUGAGUACUAAAACAAAAAAACAUUGUGAACUCUAAUAAAAUGACAAGGUUUUGAUGAAAUAUGACUCCA